rnacentral:ncRNA from 1 species
UCUUAUCAAGAGUGGCGGAGGGGACAGGCCCUGUGAAGCCCGGCAACCUGUUUUUAGCAAGGUGCCAAGUCCUGCGGAUUAUCCGAAAGAUAAG